rnacentral:misc_RNA from 1 species
GAUGAAGAACGUAGCGAAAUGCGAUACGUAAUGUGAAUUGCAGAAUUCAGUGAAUCAUCGAGUCUUUGAACGCACAUUGCGCCCCCUGGUAUUCCGGGGGGCAUGCCUGUCCGAGCGUCAUUGCUGCCCUCAAGCACGGCUUGUGUGUUGGGCCUCCGUCCUCCUCCCGGGGGACGGGCCCGAAAGGCAGCGGCGGCAUCGCGUCCGGUCCUCGAGCGUAUGGGGCUUCGUCACCCGCUCUUGUAGGCCCGGCCGGCGCUUGCCGACACAUCAAUCUUUUUUCCAGGUUGACCUCGGAUCAGGUAGGGAUACCCGCUGAACUUAAGCAUAUCAAUAAGCGGAGGA